CCAGGCUUCCUCUCCCUGACGUCCCCUAACGUUGGCAGAGUGAAGAAGGGUCGCCCUCACGGCCACGACCUGCCCUGACACUGCCGUCAUCACUCAGAGUCCAGGGCCCCCUGCGCUACUGCUCAUACCCUCCUUACCUGGGGGAGUCAGAUUACCUCAACACUGAAAUCUCCCUUUUGGGUAGCGUUCCUGUCAACUCAAGGGGAACCUCCGCAUGAGUCUGAUCAUGUAAGAAGCAGACGACUGGUCCUUUAAAGGAAGUGUCUCCCUCGAGUUUCACCCACUCUAGCUAUAUGGCUGUUCCAUUCAGACGCUGCAUAUUCUCCCCACCCCCACCCAUCCUGGAAUAAACGGAAGUUCCAGUUCACACAACUCCUUGACUAGUAUAAAUAUUUAUCUGUAUUUUCCAUCUAGAUGCAGAAAGAGGCCCCCUCUCGCAUGCUACUUGAAACAGUGUAUUUUGUUACCCCGCAUCGGGAUUGAGCUGCAGGAAGCAAACAGGAAGAGAGAGAAGAGGAGAAGGAAGGCCUCAGGAGAGGGGCCCAGGACGCCGGAGAAGGGGGCAGGUAGCAGCACGUAAGGGAAAGUUGGAGAAGGCAGGCCGGUCGCAAGGAGGGGUGCAGGCCACACCCUUGGGACACUCACGGUUGAGCUGUCGCCUCCGGAUCCGGUCCCUCCAUGGCCUGCUUCGGAUCCAGUGCAAUCGAGAAGGUAGAACCAUGGUCCCAAGGCGGGACUGAAGACCAGCGCUUGGCUGCCAGGAACGCGGGGCAGGAUGGCUGGAGCCGAAAUCAGGGCAAUGGCCCUCACGUUUUAGGGCACGUGAUUUCUUCACUGCUGGGUCCCUAGCACCUGGCACAGAGCGGGGGAACAAUGCAUAUUUGUUGAGUGAAUGAAUGGUUCAGUGACAACCAACCUAAAAACUUGUUGGUGCCCCCAUGAGUCGUUUAUGCCAGUGAACCUGCUUGAUUCACGGUCCUCAAAUAGGCUUGCUUGAUUCUGCUGGCCCAUGUCUCUCCCCACACUUUUCUCUCCAUCAAGGACCACACUCCUUCUUCACCCACCCACUUUGAAAUCUCAUUUUCCUGUGAUGCAUUCCUGAAGUCACACGAUGGGGCCAGCCCCCACACCCCCUGCGCACCUCACACUCUGGCCAGCGACCAGAUGGCCCUCGUCGGUUAAAGCUCUUGCUUGUUCAUUUGUUUGACUGACCGUGUGUCCGAAUAGCGAGGCUGCUUCUCGGUGACAGGUGCUGUGUAGUCCCUCUCCCCGGGCUGCCGCAGACUGUGUUUUGCCUGAGAAAUUGGUGACAUUAAGGAGUGGCUGGGGCAUUCUGCCUCCCCGGUCUCCACUACCCUGAAUAAAUGUACAGUCUAACUCAAGACUCUAUUGGUUAUAAAAACAGCCUGGACACAGGACCCCAGGUCCCCAAACCGCCUUCUACAGACAUUGCAGAGAGAGAGGAUACGCUCAUGAUGGGUUGUUCUAUCCUACGCAAUGCCCCCCCUGCUCCAGACAGCCAACAGCUCUUGAUCAAAGCCUUAGGGACAGUCUUGCCAUGAGGUCCCAACUGGAAAAAAGUGACAACUCCAAUCCCCGAAUGUAGCCCAAGAGAAUCCAGCAUCUGGCUGAAGGCAGAAAACAUGUCGUGUCUCUACUGUGUAUCCCCCCGGGCCACAGCAGGGGGAUGGGGAGCUGCUGAGAGGUGGGAGUCGGGGGGCAGAUGGGCGUCACUGAUGUCCCUGUGCCUUGCUGGCUUCAGCUCAGAAGGGAGAGAACCUACAGCCCUCCCAGGGUUGGUGCGAUGAAAUGAGAUAAAGUUAAAUAACUCUGGGGGUUGGCAGGUGUUGGAAGGUUCCCCCAGGAGCU